UUGGAAACAGAAUUUCAAGAGUUAGAGGGUCACUUGCUUCACCUGGAGGAUACCUGUGAACAAUGUGAACUUGAGCGAUAUAAACAGUUACAGAUCAUUCAGUUGGAAAACCACAAGAAACAAAAGAGAAAAAAAAUUGAAGCUUUGAAAGUCACUGCUUGAUGCUGGCCAGGGGCUUUGGAAUGUGCUUCUGGGUCUCUACAACAGGCUCUGGGGUCUCGGUUCGUGACCACUGUAUCGGAGUUGGAACCGUGAGCCCGGUAAUGUGCAGGUUCCAUAUUUCCUGUCCACCAUCCGAUGCUCCUCCAGAGGCCGUCACCGGUCAUUCGGGUCCUGCUCCUUUAGGUUCCUGGAUCCUUGGCUCAGCCUGCAAGUCUGGGCCAGGGGAAUUGGCCCGGUCCCUGCUCCUUGCUCGCCAAGAGACCCCGGCCUGGGGUGGAGCCAUGUUGACUCAUCCUGGCGUUGCUGCUGUCAAAGCGGCAUCCUUCACCCACCACUUUCUAGGCUUCAAAGAAAAGAAAAAGAGUAAAAACAAAAAGAAGAAAAGAAAAAGAGACAAAGCAAAUGGGAGUGGAUGAGCCCUGGGCUCAGCCCUGCUACUCCUCCACCAUCUGCAUAUCAUGGACAAAGAUAGAAACAUAUCUUAAGUUCUGGUCUGGUGGAGAAUCAAAAAAUCAGGUCUUAAUUCCUAAGCCACGCCCCGACCCACUGCCGGCCAUAAAGUUAAUUUUUAGUAUAACCCAUGCAGCGAUGGCAGUAAUGCCAUGCAGGGCAUCUAUGGUGUCAAUGGUCACUGAUUUGUAAAACCAAAAAUUGCAUUACCCAUUUCUGGCUCGUUCAGACCUUGAGCAGACCCAGUUGGAAUAUUUUAGUUAGAGGUAAGGUAAAUGCUGGAAUAAGUCUGCAUCUGGAUAAUUCUCUUCACAGUAACUGUAUAAUAAUUUAAUAUAGUCAUUGUAAUAAUCACUGCUCAAAGUCAAAAGCUGAAGUUGUUCUGAAUAUCUAUUUCCUCCUUUCCUAAUUUUAGUGUAUGGAGGAAGCUUUGUUAUCUUUGUGAUCAUACAGCACUUGAUUGUUUUGUGUAAACUAUUUUUGCUGUGAUCAGGUUACUUAACGACUCUUAACUUCCUGAAAAGUUUUAGACAAGUUUCCAAGUCCCCACUGGAGCUAUACGGUUGAUUGCUUCUGGCCACUAUCUUUUAUUACGUAAAUCAAUUGGAAUCUUCCAAGCUAACAUGUUCUGUAUUGAGUACUUUUUUCUUUAGUUAUUAGCAGGAAAUAGUGGACAUUCCAUUUAAUAUAUGUAAUACAUUUGUGCAAAGGAUAUUGAAGAAUCCACUUUAAAAAUAUUAUGUCUCAGUAAUUUGGUCAUCAGGUAUCUUGUACUAUUAUUU